rnacentral:rRNA from 1 species
GUUUGCAGUUAAAAGCUCGUAGUUGAAUUUUGGCCUUGGUUUGUGAGGUUCGGCCUUCACUGGUCGGUACCUUUACGAACCGGGCUCCACCUUCUGGGUUAGCCAGUUGUUACUUCGGUGCAGCUGGUGAACCAGAACUUUUACUUUGAAAAAAUUGGAGUGUUUAAAGCAGGCUUUCAAGCUUGAACAUAUUAGCAUGGAAUAAUGAAAUAGGACUUUGGCCUUAUUUCGUUGGUUUCUAAAGCCAAGGUAAUGAUGAAUAGGGAUAGUUGGGGACAUUAGUAUUCAAUUGUCAGAGGUGAAAUUCUUGGAUUUAUUGAAGACUAACUUCUGCGAAAGCAUUUGUCAAGGAUGUUUUCAUUAAUCAAGAACGAAAGUUAGGGGAUCGAAGACGAUCAGAUACCGUCGUAGUCUUAACCAUAAACUAUGCCGACUAAGGAUCGGAUGGUGUUAUAUUUAUAUUGACCCAUUCGGCAUUUCAGCGAAAGCCAAGUUUUUGGGUUCCGGGGGGAGUAUGGUCGCAAGGCUGAAACUUAAAGGAAUUGACGGAAGGGCACCACCAGGAGUGGAGCCUGCGGCUUAAUUUGACUCAACACGGGGAAACUCACCAGGUCCAGACAUAGUAAGGAUUGACAGAUUGAGAGCUCUUUCUUGAUUCUAUGGGGUGGUGGUGCAUGGCCGUUCUUAGUUCGUGGAGUGAUUUGUCUGGUUAAUUCCGAUAACGAACGAGACCUUACUCUGCUAAAUAGCCAGCAUGACUUUGGUCGUGUCCUUUUUGGCUUCUUAGAGAGACUAUCAAUGUUUAAUUGAUGGAAGUUUGAGCAAUAACAGUCUGUGAUGCCCUUAGAUGUUCUGGGCCGCACGCGCGCUACACUGAU